UACGUAGGGGGCUAGCGUUGUCCGGAAUCACUGGGCGUAAAGGGCGCGUAGGCGGCUUGAUAAGGUUGCGGUGAAAGCCCGGGGCUCAACCCCGGGUCGGCCGUGGCAACUGUCGAGCUGGAGCACUGUAGAGGCAGGUGGAAUUCCGGGUGUAGCGGUGGAAUGCGUAGAGAUCCGGAAGAACACCGGUGGCGAAGGCGGCCUGCUGGGCAGUGGCUGACGCUGAGGCGCGACAGCGUGGGGAGCAAACAGG
rnacentral:rRNA from 1 species